GCGUUUUCUGAAAAAAAUGACAGGCUGUUGGUCCAGAGCAGCAUCUCUGCAGCUUAGGACCAGCAGGCUGCCAUCCCGGCACUGUUCUGCUUGCAGACAGCGCUCCAGGUUCUCCUGAUGUGGCACUCAGAGGGCGUCCCUCUGCCGUGCAGCCCUCCCCAGUGCCUGCCUGCCUGUCACUGUUGCGGCUGGGAUGGAGCUGUUUCCUUUGCAGUGCCUGCUAUGGCGCUGUGUCCUGGUUCUGUCAGCGCUCCGUGCCGUCCUGCAGGCUGUUGUGCAGAGCGCAGUGCUGUGGAGCUGUGCUUCCCGGCCCUGUGCUCUCCAGCACUCUCACAGGAGUUCCAACGCUCCCAGAAAUCUCCGGUUAGAAGUCUCCGCUGCUCCCGUGCACGCACAUCUGCGUGCAGGGAUGUGUGCAGAACCACACAGCCACGUGCAAAGAUUUCCCUGCACACACACCUGUGCAUUCACACACACGUGCAAACGCAUCCUUGCACAGACCUAUGUGCGCACUCCAUCCAUGUGCACGCAAAGGUGUGCAAAAGCAAAAGGCCUUGUGCAAAGUCUGUGGGGGAGAUGUGCUGAGUCUGAGAAGGUCCUUGAGGAGCUAUAGGGCUCUCUGGGGGUGUGUUUGGUGGAUAUAGGGACAUUAAGGGAUGUGGGAAUACAGGCUGCAGGAGCAGAAUGCUGUUCAGGAGAAGACAAGACGUGGGCUGCAGGUGGGACACAGGGGCAUGGGGUAGUAUGGGGACGUAGAGAGUAUGGGAGGAUGUGGGGAGCGGUUUGAGGUAAAAAGAGGUUGGGGGGGGAAGUGUUGGAGUGGUUUCAUUUCAUCUUGAGAGGAGACUGGGCGUCCCUGUGGCCCAAAGGUGGGGCCCUGAGCCGUAACCCCACAUGAGCCAUAACCCAAGAUGACCUCAUCACCCUGUAUGUGCGUGACCCCAUGGCUGCACGUGACCCGCAGCCCUGGGGGAACCAUACCCCCACAUGACCCUGUGACUCCCUGACUCUGCCUGCUCCCAUCACACUGUGAUCCAAUGCCAUGUGUCCCCAUGACUCUGGGAUCCCUGCCCCCACCUCACCCCGACCAUACAACCCCAUGGGACCAUGAACUCCAUGUCACCCAAUCUGAGCCUAUAGCCCCACAUCACCCCGUAACUCUGACACUGCUGGACCACCAUGUCACACACGACCCCACGUCCUCACCUCAUGUGGAUGUAGAACCAGUUGCGUGUGGGGAAAAGGCAUCUCCUCCUCUGGGUGGAGCUGCCCCACAGCUGCCCCAAAGAAGCCAUGGGGAGGGCUGCAGCCGUACGCCUCAGUUUGGAGAGCUGGGAACUGGCCAAAGGGGCCAGAAGAAGAACAUGAAUGCUUCUGUAGGGAAAUACCUGUCCCAGGGUUUGGUGGGUUCGUAGCUUCUGUUUCUGUAAGUGGAUGAGAAGAGAACAAACUGAUCCCACUGAGACCGGGGAAGGGACUGGAGCUUGGCUUGAACCAGGAACGGAGCAGGGAUGGACUGAAGCAAAUCAACUCUUUCAUGGGACAGUGGCAGAAGAAACCCAAGUCAGCUGCAGAACGAAAAACACAACCCCUUACAAAAGGGCGUCCCAGACUGGGGCCGUUGCAGCAGUAGGGGCAGUGCCUCUUGGAAGGGAUCUCGCGGUGAGACUGAAACCUUUUCAAAAGGCAUUAUGAAACAAAAUUAGAUUAUUAAACAUAAUCAUUAAACAUAAACAGAUUACCUAAAGCCCAAGGAGAAAACACGUUUCAGAUUGAAGACCACAAAAGCAUCAUAUUCUAUUGCAAGACAACUUCAGUUCCAGUUUCAAUUUCAUGACUAGCAUUUCACCCUCCCUGCUGUGGAAAGGGGGGAAAGAAGGAAGGGAGAGCCUUCUCGCCCCACAUCCCUUUAGAGAUCACCCUAUAGCUCCAGAUCAUCCUAUGGACCCACACAGCCCCUUAGAGGACCACAUCCUCCAAACACCCCCUAUAGCCUUAUAUCUCCCUAUAUCCCCAAAUAGCCCACCACAGCCCCUCUGUAACCCCCAAAGCCCCAUUUUAGCCCCCCAUACCUUCUCCAGCAUAACAUCCCUCUCUACAGACCCUCCCUGGCCCCCUAUCAUCCUAUACCCUCCCACAGCCUGCCACAACCCCCUAAAAAUUCACUACUACCCAUAUCUCCCUAUAUCCCCUCCACAGCCCCCUAUAGCCUCCUACCCUACUAGAACCCUCCUACAGACCACCCACAGCUCCCUAAAGCCCCAUAACCACCUAUAAAGCUCCUAUAGCCUCUCCAUAGAACCAUAUAGCUUUCCCAAUAGCCCCCUACAGCGUCAUAAUAUUCCCCUGCUCCCUACAGCCACAUAGCACCCCAUGUCCCCUCUACAGCCCUAAGACCCUCCCUACAGUCCCCCAGCCUCUAAAGCCCAAUCUCCCCUUAUAGCUCCCCACAGACCCACACUGGCCCUAGACUCCCUCCAGAGCCCCCCACACUCUCCCAUAUCCAGCCUCAUAUCCCCCUAGAACCCUUCUAGACUCCAUAUCUCCCCUAUAUCCCCACAGACACCCUAUAUCCUCCCUCAGGCCCCCACAAUCUCCUACAGCACAACAUCCUGCCCUAGAGCCCCCCCCAACCCCUAGCACCCUCAACCCUCCCACAUGUUGCCACAAACCCCUAAAGCCACAUAUCCCCCUCGAACACACCUAUAGCCCUUACAGCCCCCUCAUAGAACCGUGGAGCUCCUCCCAAAGCCCCCUACAGACCCAUAUCACCCCUAUACCCCCACAGCCCCCUAGAGAACCAAAUCCCCCUAUAUCCCCC
ensembl:lncRNA